rnacentral:ncRNA from 1 species
CCGCCACAACGGCUUCCUGACGUGGCGGGACAACAUAAUCGGAGCA